CUUGGUGACACUUCCCGCAGGGCCACACCCGUUCCCAUCCCGAACACGGUCGUUAAGCCUGCAUGGGCCGAUGGUAGUCAGAGUUGGCGAGAGUAGGUCGUCGCCAGGA
rnacentral:rRNA from 1 species